UUGCCACAAUAUUACUCCAUAGCAACUUCUUCGAGAGAUGCAGCAGAUGGCCAGUCGUCCCUUUGCCUCCGUAAAUGUUGCCUUGGAAACAGAUGAAGAGCCUCCUGAUCUUAUUGGGGGGAGUAUAAAGACUGUUCCCAAACCCAUUGCCCUGGAGCCGUGUUUUGGCAACAAAGCUGCUGUCCUCUCUGUGUUUGUGAGGCUCCCUCGAGGGCUCUGUGGAAUCCCUCCUCCUGGGCAGUCAGGUCUCGCGGUGGCCAGCGCCCUCGUGGACAUUUCUCAGCAGAUGCCAAUGGUGUACAAAGAGAAGUCAGGAGCCGUGAGAAACCGGAAGCAGCAGCCCCCCGCGCAGCCCGGGACCUGCAUCUGAGGCCGGGCGGAGACUCUCCGUGAGCGAGCCGGCGGGGUGGGGGGGCUGGCGUGCGGCGCCGUCAGCAGGGAGGGGGCAGGCGGGGAGAUGCUCCAUGGAGUGGGCCGAAGACUGGAAACCCUCGAAACAUCCGACUCCUCUGCAUGUUCACGAGCUUUCUUUGCCGGUUUCUCCCAUCUGUGCUCCAGCAUCUAACCUUUUACUUUUGCAUAGGAAAUAAUUAUUUAAUGGCAGGUCCAGGGGUGACCCAGUUGUUGCUGGAGGAGGCCGGGGCAGAGCCAGUGAGAGAGCUGGGAGCAACACUCAGGUUCACUUGUGGAAAACUGUUCUUGGGGCUGUCUCAACUUGCAAAAAACAGAAGAUGUAGUGUUUACAAGUAGACAUUCACCACCAGUCGUUCUUGAACAUGGUCUUUUAAAAACUAGUCAGAUGAAUGAAUUUGUUCUCAUCUGAAGCCUGCUAUCUUUUUUAAAAGAUGUGCUACUUAUUCUCGCAUGACGUAGGCAAACCUCUCUCUUGCAGGGAGUAGCUUUUUUCUAGUUGAGAAUAAACAAAGGUCCAUCUCUUUUGAAUCAUAUCAAACUAAGGUAGAAGGGGGCUAUUUUAAAUGUCAAGGUCAGCAGUGUUACUUAGAAUGUAAACUGAUGUAAUAGGUAGUUUUCUAUAGCAACUUGAUUAAUUUAUUCUUAAUCCAUUUGAAAUCCUCUCCCUCUCUCUGUCUCUCUCCCUCUCUCAUGUCUCUCUCUCUGUCUCUCUCUCUCUCACACAUACACACACACACAUACACACACACUAAGUGCCUAGACUUGAAAUAGAUCUAGCAAUUGGAAAGUUAGUAAGCCUAAGUUUUUCCAUAAUUGCAUUCCUACAUUCUUAUAAAAUUUAAAUAGCUACCAUUGGCAAUCUGCUCUUUUUCUAAAAUCUAAUUUGCAGCCAGGAAAGAAUUUUCUCACCCCAGGGAACGUUUAACCUAGCAGCAGGGACUGAGAGGAAAGCGGAAAUUACCAAACUGUGAAAGCUCCUGUUUAUGUUGUUGUCAAAAGACAGGAGCACUAAAUAAGGUGUGGUCCUCAUGUGCCCCCUGCCCCCCGCCCCCCACUCUAGGCCUGACGUUGGCUCCAGCCCUUCUAGCCACUCCUGCCAGGACACCACAGAGGCAGGGACUCGUCCAUGUUACAUGUCUCCCUUGGGCAGAAAAGAGCAUGCCAGCCCUUAGGAUCCCUGCAUCAAAGAGCAACAGUGUGCCCUAGAGCCUGCCUUGAGCUGGUGGGCCAUCCUCAGGCUGCAGGUGGAAUUGCACGCCCAAAGCCUGGAGAAGAACCUGGAACUGUUUGCUGGCUCUCCUUCAGGAGAGGGUCAGCUUGGCCCUCCCAUCCUCCUUCCCAGCCCCGGGUGGUGGCUGUGGGCAGGGCAGUGACCACUGAGAAGGAUGAAAAGCACAUAGAGAAUAUAGAUAAGGAGGAAUAACCAUGCCAAGUGGAAAGUGACCAAGUUGAAGUGGGGCGGGGCAGUCCUGCUCUUCUCCGCAGGCCGCUGCCUGGGGGUCAUGGUUUCCCUGUGUAUGGUGCUCUGUAUUCCGGCAUUACGCGGCAGCCUCUGCAGGUCUUUCUUCCACUUCAAAACUUGGGGUUCUCUAGCAUUACCCCGUAGGGAUGGCCCUCUAGACAACCACACUCGUUUGUGAAUUUGGAGAAAUUAAUACUCGAAAGAGCAAAGACUGCAGCUUUUCACCUUGACAUGCAGUGCCUAGAGUAGGAACGCUGUCUCUUUCCCAGCCCUCGCCCAUGAAAAGUUGCCUGGAAAGAUGUUUUCAUGGAAGUUGAACCCUAAAACACUGUCUGAUGCACAAAACACCUCUACUUUGAGACUCGCCUCUCAAAAAGCUGCUUUUUCACAUCAAUGACAAAGAGCAGACAAUUCUAGAAAAGACCCCCUUCUCUCUCAAGCUUCCCACAUCCCUGCUCCACAUCACAGCACCCACAGAGAGCCUGCCUCAGACUGGCGCUUUACCCCUAUAAUUGCCAUGAGGCCUCUUGGCAGAGAGAGGGAGGCCGCUGGAGAAGGACCCCCCACAAGGAAAAUCCUUGUUUGUUCAAAGGACCAGUGUUUCUUUGGCCAAAGAAGUCUCUUCCCCAUGGCUUCCCAGGCCUUGAAAUAACAUACACCGUGUCCCAUAGCACCUGGUUUGGUGUUUUGCUUUUCUAAAAGAUAGUUUAUUUUUAAAAAGGAAGGAAAAAGGAGCAAGUGAUGUUUACUUCUGCUCCAACAGUGGAGAAACAGCUGAAUCCACCUGCUUCUCCUUUGCAGCCAAUAGCAAACAGCUUCCUCAGGGCUCAGGCCAGAGGAAGGGAGGGGCAGGAGAAAGAGGCGCUCAGCUUAGGAGCCAGUUACCAAGAGGGAAUCAUCUGGAACUUCAGAGAAAUGCCUGCGUGUCACAGGAGAGCCUGUAUAUAAGUUAAAAUAGUCACGAAAACAUUGAUGUUGCACUUGUACAUAAUUAUACAGUAGUGUCCAGAAUGUUCAGACAUUCAGAGUGUACAUAAAACAAAACUAUGUCAAUGUAUUUUUAUUAAAUGUAACGGUGUCUGAGUUUUACCUAAUAUGUUUUUGUGACACAUACCGGAUAUCCAAGUCUAAAGAAGUCCUCUCAUUGGGCCCUGAUACAUUGAUAACAAAACCAAAAAAAGGGGGGGGGCAUCCCCAUCAUGCCAGUGUGUCCAGAUGCAUCUGGUCCGAAUUGGUUGAUUCUAAAACAGAAAUCGUCUGCCGGUACACAGAGGAGAACUCAGGCGUCGAGUACAUUUAAACAGCAUUGUGUGAGGAGCCUUGAAGGCAGCGGGCAUGUCGCUGUCACCUGCAGGCUCUGCAGGGGGUCAUGAAUCUUUCUGUUAGCCUCUUGCUACUGUGCCUGGCCACGGAUGACCAGUCUUGUCCUGAGAAGCGUUUCUCUUAGUCUCUCAGUUCGAAGACUCUCUCAGAUUUUCCAGAAAGGGGUUUUCCAGGCUGCCUUUUGUUCCGUUUGGUCUACAAUUUGAAUGACCAUUUCCCGGGACUGUGGUUUCCUGUACUGAAAACCAGGGUGGGAGUAGGAUGGCCGGUUCACUGACAGAUCGCUCCCGUUCCCUCCUGCGGAUCCACGCCCAGCCUGGCCUCCUGUCCGCGCCCCACUCCUCGUCUUACAGCACUCCCUAUGAGAUCAGCUUGAAGAGAUGGAGGAGGUGUGGAGAGAAGGCAAGCCACACUUCCCCCCACGCCUCCCCCGAGCUGCCCUGGAGGAAAAGCAGCCCUUGGCAGGAAAACAGCAGAACAUCUGGGGGUGAGGCCUGAAGCCCCCGAUGGGAGAUGGGAGACGCACCGAUCGGGAAGCCCGGGGCGGACGUGGAUGCGCGAGAAGACCAGAGCCCUCUCGGUAGAAAGAAGACAUGGGACCUUUUCAGUGCAACUCGCUCCGUCAGUUCAACGGGGGAGGGGGUGGGGGUUCACUUCCUCCGGUGCUGGUGUCAUUUUUGAGAACACUUUGAUCCUUUAGUCUCUCUCAUCCAUCCACACCCUCAGUGAAUACUCCCUGAGCACUUACUAACAACCUGAGCUAACGCUAGGGCAGUGACCGAGACGGAAAGAAGCUCUUUGGAAUUACAGCAAAGCCCAGCUCGCGCCCCUCAUCCCAGGAGACCUUUCCUCGUGGCGGUUUCUGUGAGAAUUGGCCGCCCUGAGGACAGACCCAGGAAGGCAGAGGGUCUGUCCUGGGGCCGAGCACCAGCUCUCAGUCUGAAAUGUGUGCCCAAUUUACCAAGCUCGGCUCCAACCAUAAAAAUCACCGUGAUGGCAGGCCCGCCAAGAGACGUUUGCCCGGAAUCGUUCAAACUCCUGAACACCCUUACCUGCAGGGAGAUGAUCUGGACUGGAGAGGAGAACUGGCGCCUUCUCUUUCAAAGGCAAUAAUGGAAUUGACUUUCAGAAACUGAAAUUUGUGCACAAAACAUUCUAAACACUAGUGAAGCCUGUUUCGUUGAACUAAUUCUGGCUCUGGAAAUGUUUUUGUUUUAUAGGUAUUUACGGUUUUUGUUUUUGUUUUAUUUUUGGUUUGGAUUCAAGCUUAGUUUGUUAAUAUGUAUAAUUUAGCAUUUCUUGCACUCAUGUAAAUAUGGAGUAAGUAUUGUAAACUAUUUCAUUGCUGGGGACUGUGGGUGUUAUACAUACAUUUAGGACUGCAAUUUUUUGGUAUUUUUUGUAUUGUAAAAUAACAGCUAAUUUAAGCAGGAACAAGAGAAUUAAGGGAGGUCUGUGCAUUUUAAACACAAAUGUGAAGAACUUGUAUAUAAACAAAAGUAAAUACUAUAAUACAAAUUUUCUUCUGAAAUAAAAGUAGAUCUGGUAAAAAUGCGGUUUUUGCUCCAAGUGUUGAA